GACAGAGGGUGCAAACGUUGUUCGGAAUUACUGGGCGUAAAGCGCAUGUAGGCGGCCUAGCAGGUCGGAUGUGAAAUCCCUCGGCUCAACCAAGGAAGUGCAUUCGAAACCGCAAGGCUCGAGUCCCGGAGAGGAUGGUGGAAUUCUCGGUGUAGAGGUGAAAUGCGUAGAUAUCGGGAGGAACACCUGUGGCGAAAGCGGCUCACUGGACCAUUACUGACGCUGAUGCUCGAAAGCUAGGGGAGCAAACAGG
rnacentral:rRNA from 1 species